rnacentral:rRNA from 1 species
GUGAGGAAUAUUGCACAAUGGAGGCAACUCUGACGCAGCCAUGCCGCGUGCAGGAAGAAGGCGCUACGCGUUGUAAACUGCUUUUAACCGGGAAGAAACCCCAGGACGUGUCCUGGGUUGACGGUACCGGAGGAAUAAGCACCGGCUAACUUCGUGCCAGCAGCCGCGGUAAUAUGAAGGGUGCAAGCGUUAUCCGGAUUCAUUGGGUUUAAAGGGUGCGUAGGCGGAGCGUUAAGUCAGUGGUGAAAUCCUGCAGCUUAACUGUAGACUUGCCAUUGAUACUGGCGCUCUUGAGUGCGCUUGAAGUGGGCGGAAUGUGCCGUGUAGCGGUGAAAUGCUUAGAUAUGGCACAGAACACCAAUUGCGAAGGCAGCUCACUAAGGCGAUACUGACGCUGAGGCACGAAAGCGUGGGGAUCGAACAGGAUUAGAUACCCUAGUAGUCC